GACAGAGGCCCCAAGCGUUAGGCGGAAUCACUGGGCUUAAAGCGUGUGUAGGCGGACGCCUAAGUGUCUUGUGAAAUCCCACGGCUCACCCGUGGAACUGCUGGGCAUACUGGGCGUCUUGGGCCAACUAGGGGCAGCCGGAACAAGCGGUGGAGCGGUGAAAUGCGUAGAGAUCGGCAGGAACACCCAGGGGGAAACCAGUCGACUGGGCAGCACCUGACGCUGAGGUGCGAGAGCGUGGGGAGCGAACCGG
rnacentral:rRNA from 1 species